UAGAGUAUAUAAAACUUAAUAUUUUGAUAUGUGUAAUUGCAUUUAAUAAUCAAUUAAAGUAAAAUUGACAUGCUAUUGUCUUUACUCGAUAGCCACAUGCAAUGAUCUUAAAAACAAACUUAUUUAUCAAUCAUUUUCAAUAAAAAUUAGUCUUUUUUUUAAAAAAAAAGUUUGAAUAUUAGUUUUGUAUUGAAUACAAAUAAAACACUUAAACGGUAAAAUAUAAAUUAAUUAAGAAUUAAGAUGGAAUAGUCAUUAAAUAAAAAUUUGAAGAAUCAAUUACUUCCGGUUGACUUGACACAGUUGCCGAGAAGAUGGAAGGAAGAAAGGGAAGGAAUCGAAGAGAAGCUUUUGAUUUUCUUGGAUGAAUCGAACUUUUUUUUAGGGAAAAAAGAGCGCGCCAUUGAAAAGAUCUAUUUGAACUAUCAACCCAGAUCUGAAUCCACCUUGAUUCACUGAUACCCAUCUGCAUAUUCAAAUCAUCCUAGCAAACAGAUCAUUGCAGUAAGAACAAACUACUAAAAAAAGAUACUGUUAUUUCUUUUGGUUUCAUUUUAGUCAUCAGUGAACAUCUCUUUAACAUCAGUUCUCCUUGAAAAUCUUUGAAAGUUGUUGAAUUAAUUCUGUGUAACUGAUGAACCCUCAAGAUCACUACUGAUCCUCAUGUUCUAUAUGCUUUCCAGCUCCCAUUUUUCCACCCUGAGAAAGUGAAAGUGCCAAGUAAAGUUAGGUUGGAGUGAUGAUAAAGUUUUUGAAUGUUAAAAUUGGUGGGUGUGAAAUCUGCUUUGAUGUUGGAAAAGAAAAGUUAUCAGAAUCAGAAUCAUUCAGCUAUUGGAGCAAACCGAGCAAACACCUUCUAACUAAUCUAAUCAAUUCCCCCAAAGCUAUUUCCCAAUAAAACAAUUAUAUUUUUGCUCAGUUUUGCCAAAGCUUAAUUUGGUGAGAGCAGUUGGGUGGGUCUUGACAUCAUUUUUACCAAAUAAACUUUUAGUUAGCACCCAUUUGGUCGCCUACCAUGGUCCAUUAGUGUUUCUUUUCUUCGAUGAAAAUUUGAUAUUUUGAUACUCAGAAUCAUCAUUUUUUUUCCCCUUUUCUUUUUCUUUUUUUAAUAGGACAAGAUUCAUCCCAUUCCCAUUACAAGUGCCUGUAUUUUAAAGUCAUUCAAAUCUUACCCAUAUAGUUGGCCUAAAAUUUAAAAGUCACAAUCUCUCAUCUUAUCCAAAUGUAUCUAUAAUAUACUCUAAUGUAGAUGUUUCAUCCAAUAAUAAUUUUAAGUCUCCACUGUUUUUUAUUAUAAAAAAAAAUGUUUGUUUUUGCUGUGUUUGAAAAUAUCAUUUUAUUUUAGUACAUACGUAUAUUAAUUUUAUUUAACACGGUUUGUUUUCAUGAUAGCACAUAAUUAUUGUUUUGAUUUUAAUGAAAAAAAAGUAUCAGUGUAAAUAAAUCAUAGAUUAUGAUUGUUUGGGUGGGCUAACUUUAUUCAAAUUAUGUGGUAGAUAUAAAUAGGUCUUGAAAAAAAAUCUUAAUAUUAAAGGGAUUUGAAUUGAGAUAUUUUGUCGUUGGAUUAUGGGUUUGUUAUUGGUGAACUUCUUUAGCAAUUCUUUGUAUUUUAAUUUCAAAUAAAGCAUUCAUUUUACAACUUAAUUAUUCAGAUUUAAUGUCUAAUAAAACAGUACACCAUGAUUGAAAUUCGUUUAUCUCACUAACAAAUGUCAAAGUUAAAAAAUUUCAAUUGUACAUUGUGUUUACUUCAGACAUUACAUUAGAUGAUUUCUCGGAGGAAAAUUCAAUUUGAAGUUUCAUCUUCUUUUUCUUAUCUAACUUAUUUGAUUAAGUUCAAUUUCCAUACCAAACAAAAGAUUUAGGUAGGAAAAAAAAGUGAAGAAAUAGAAGCAUUAUUGGAGUUUCUGGUGAUUAAAAAUAAAAUUCAAAUGACUUUAAAAUGAAUAAAAUUAGGGUUGGAACAAUAGGUGGGGGUGUUCAUGGAGGGGCCAUCUAAAGUGCCUUGAUAAUUGAGAACCCCUAAUUAUGAGACUCCCCAAAUUAAAUUAUAUAUAUACAAUUCCAAAGGGGAAGAGGAUUGGUUAGUCAAUUGUCCUUUAUUUGAUUAGUUUUUAGGAUUGCUAUUGAGUGGCUUCUAAAAUGAAUUUUGCUCAAUGUGAUAUGUAAUAACACAGACCGAUACCUAAGUCUUAUUUUUGUUUUAAUUUUUACUCAAAUUUUUAAUAUAUAUUUUUUUUAUGUUUUUAUUAAUCAUUCAUUGAUUUUAAUUCACUUAAAAAUAGGACUCACAGACUCUACCACGUAUUAAUUCAAACACUUUUUCAAGUAGACAUUUCUUCCAUCUCAUAUCAACUAUACAUAAAGAAUAAUUGUUUAUGGAGAAUUUACGUACUAAAAAUGUCUAAAUUUCUAAUUAUUUUAUUUAUAAUUUUUUUAAUAUAUGUGUAUUAUUCUCUUAUUUUUUAAUAUAUAUGUUUGUUUGUCUUUUACGAGUCCAAAAUUGUUAGAAAAAACAUUAUGUCAAAUGAGUUACAACUAUUUUGACACGCACAAAUGCAUGCACACAUAUACAUAAAUGUAACAAAAUAACAAUAUAUAUAAGUGAUAGAUAUAGAUAAAUGUGAAUUGAUAUCUAUCGGUUGACAUUUUUGUUAUAUCUAUAAAUAAUUUAAGUAGUUUCGUGAUUAAGAAUAUUUUGGUUAUAUAUUUAUUUAAAAUAUGAGUGAAGCAAAGAUGAUAAUGAUGUGUUGCCCCAUAUGGUGGUGGCAAGGGAACUCUUAACACAAUUGCUUUUAAUUUUCUUCUUCCAUUGACAAAAGAGAACAAAGUGGGCCUUGGUUAUUGGGCCCAAUUUCCCUCUCUUAGGACAUGACCCCUCAACCUCCCAUCCCCAAUUUCUCAGAUUUUAAUAUAAUUUGUUUUUUUUCUUUAUAGGGUGUACUAGUUCUUGAUCUGGGUCCCAUGCAGAAUAACCAACCAUACUAUAAACAGAAAUUAAUCAGAGAUUAUUAAUUUAUGUUGUCUCUGACUUUCAAAUUUUGUUUCUUUUAUAAUCUAUACAAUGGGAAUGAGUUGGUGCACCCAAUUAUCCUAAUUAGAUUAACAUAAUCUCAUCACCCUUCUCAUCCAAUCAUUUGAAAAAUAUCAUUGAAGUUAACAAAGAAUAAUAUACACAGAGAAGAGAGAGAUACGAUUUAGCCAAGCUAAAGAAUUCAAUUGAUAUAAAUAAAAGAAUAGUAUAAUGAGUAGACAAAGUAAGCAAGUCUCAACUUAUAUUACUUGUUAUUCUUGCUAUAGUAUUUGUUUGUUUAUUUUUACAACAUGAUGAGAUGAGAUGAGAUGAGGAUGUGAGGAUGGAAGAUGGAAAUGAGAUAACACAUUUCUACUUUACUCGAAAGGAAGAAGAGGUAUGUUUUAGCUUAGAAUGAUGUGAUUGAUUGCAUAAUCUCUCUUUUUACUAUUUUUAAUAUCACUUUCAUCUAUAGAUCUGUUUAUAUAUCUUUAUAUUAAUUUGGGUUGCAUUUAAUAUUACUUCAACCAACCUUGUUUUAUUUUUUCAUUAAAAAAGAAAAGACCUUUGUUUAGUGAAAGACGGUGUUCCCAGUUUCAAUCUAGGUAUCCUUUCAAUCUUUGAAAUUUUAUAGUACAUAGUCAUUUUUAAUGGAUUUUAGAGAUUGAAAAACACACAUUUUUUACGGUAAUUAAUUUGAAAUUAUGAUUUAUUUUAGUAGACAUUAUAAUUUGUUGACAUUUGAUGGAACUUUGUUUAAAUUACAAAUUACGAGUUUAGUUUCUAAACUUCUGUAUCUAUAUAAUUUAUAGACUUGUAUAUGUGUAUAGGAAAAGAAAAUGGAAUGAGAAUGGUGGUAUUUAGUCGAGUUGGACAAGAAGAGUCAGAUUAAUGAUUCUAAAGAAAUACAUAUGGAAACAAUAAUUAAUUUGUCUUGUUUAGUAAAGAUACAUUACUAAAUAUCAAAAUGAGAGGUUAGAAAAAUGUCAAUAGCCUUAGAUAGUUAUCAAACAAUGUUUAAUACAUCUACCCAAUUUUUAUAUAAAAGCGUUGAUCGAAUAAAUAAGAAUGCAACUAAAAUAAUUAACUACACAUAAAACUUAUUAAAUAAAAAUGUAUGUAAAUACACUUUUUUUUUUACUUUUUUUUUAAGUACUUUUGUUAUUCCAUGUAAUAAAUUUACUUUCUAAAUUAUUGAACAUGUGAUGUACAUGUCAUAUCUUAUUGUCUUAAAUCUACAUUUUUUUUUUAAAUAAUUAAAAAGUAUGAGUAAACCUGGUUGAAAACUUCAAGUCUAGUUGGUACCAUCACCAAUAAGAUUUUGUACUUGUAAACGAGUUCAACCUCGUUGAACUGGUAGGUUAGUAUUGAAUAAAACAAAUUUUAAGAUGUACUGUGUAUAGGUUUUUUAUUAAAUACCUAAUAAAAUAGACUUAAUUUAAAACUUUUGUAGAAAAAAAGAAUCCCAAGUUUUGUGUAAAACUAAUAAUAAAAAUCCCAAGUAUUGUGGGUUAGAAUAAAAUAAAAGUUGGGUGGAAAAGUGGGGUCGUAAGCCAUGAUGAUUUCUUUUAUUUGAAUUCAUUUGGAAUGAGAUGGGGAAGUUCAAGUUGGAAGUCUCUUUUCUUUCCAUUUUUUCAUCUGUAUGUACAACACAAUAUAUUGUAGUGAAAGCAAAUAUAUUCCUCUUUAAACCAACAUUUGACAAAGCUUAUCCACUCUUAAUGAGUCCAUAUUACAUAAGAAAGAAAAAGAAACACUAUUACGAAACAAAUACAGUCAUUUAGAUUUAGAUAUAAUAGCUUUUAUAAUUUUGUUAGAUGUUUUGAUUUCUUGAUUCAUUCUCGAAUUGGACGAUGUUUAUUGUGAACUUGGUUGUCGUAGUUAGUUAGAUGUGUCUAUAUUCCUAAUGAUAGAAAGUAGGUAUCGGUUUGAAUUUCCUUGCACUCCUUUUGCUUUGGAAUAUAUAUAUUUUUUCACAAUUACCAUUUUUGGUAAUAUAUAAAUAUAUAUAGAUAUCCUUUUCCCUGUGUUUUGCUAUGGCCUUUAAAGAUUCUUCAUUCCAAUAACAAUUUUGUUGACACGUUUGAAUGCGAUUGGAGGAAUGUGUAAAUUUACUAUUUUAUGUCACACAUUGUUUUUUAACUUUAGGGGUUCGGAUGAGUUUGUUUCAUAUAUAUAUAUAGAUAGAUAGAUCUAAACGUGUGUGUUUUUUUGGUGUCAUUCUACAAUUUGUCCAGAUGAAUUUUACAACUUUGACAAGGUGUACUUUCGAUAUAUACUCAUAUGUGAAUACAUAUCACUAAGUCAAGCCGAUUUUAUUGAAUAUGUUUCGUUUGUAUAGCAGAGGAAUUAUUUAUCACUUUAAUCAAGCGAGGUAAUGGAGAAGAAGAUGGGCUUGGGCUACAUGACAGGCCAUUUAACCAACCCAGUAGCCUAGCCCAGUCAACUGAAGUGUUCCUAGCUUCGAAUUGUACUUCGUCCGGGCCUUCAGGCCCAAUACUCACACCCUUUCGUUGUGUACUGAACCAAGCCCAAUUAAUUAAAAUAAAAAAAGAACAGAUAAAUAAAAUUUUAAACUGUUUCUUUAGUUUUCAAUUUUUUAUUUCGUUUUCGAAAAGAUUAGCAAAAUUAAAUAAUAAAACAAUAACUUAAGAUGUGAGAGUAUUUAUAAGCUUUUUAACUUUUUUACCUCUAAAUACAAAAAAAAAAAAAAAAAAAGGUUACUAAUCAAAUAAAAGAUGGAAAUGCAAAUAUUUGUAGUACGAAGUCGUUUUAGGACUCUUUCCAUGAUUAAGAGAAUCGUUCGAACUUGGAAUCAAUUAAUUUUAUUCAUAAAAUUCCAUUAUUGGUUCACAUAAGGUCUCCAUACAUCUUCAAAUGCUAUAUAGUUGUUUCUUAGACUAAACAUUUAGAGAGAGAGACUCACAAUUAAUAUUCUAAAAACUACACACAAAUUACAUCACAUUUGUGUGUUACCUUACAAUAAUAAAUGGGCCUUCGCUACGAAAAAGCCCAUCUCAUCACACCCAUCACUCCACCACCGACGCCGGCGGCGGCGGAGAGGUAUACAGAAACGCAGAAGGAGGUGGCGGAGAAAGAAACAAGAAGGCCGACGGAGGCGGAGGCGAAGACUGUCUUAAGAAGCGUCUAGCAGGAGGUGGUGGGGAGAGGUAGAGGAAUGCAGAGGGAGGCGGCGGAGAGGUGAAGAGAUAGGCAGAUUUGGCAGAUUGCUUCAGCUCGCGGGCAUGGACAGAUGAAUGAGAGAAAAAGGAGAGAAGGGAAAGGAAGAGGAGAAACAACCCUACACCGUUCAUUUUCUUGAUCCAAUAUGAGUAUGAAGAUUGUAUCUCAAAUUCAAACCUAACGUCAAUUAUUUAUAUUAACACUUUUACAUAUUUGGUAUUAACAAUACACCUAAGAUAUCACAAUUUCAACCUUUAAUUCAA